UACGUAGGGGGCAAGCGUUGUCCGGAAUCAUUGGGCGUAAAGAGCGUGUAGGCGGCCCGAUAAGUCCGCUGUGAAAGUCCAGGGCUCAACCCCGGGAGGCGGGUGGAUACUGCUCAGCUCGAGUCCGGAAGAGGAGUGUGGAAUUCCUGGUGUAGCGGUGAAAUGCGCAGAGUAUCAGGAGGAACACCGGUGGCGAAGGCGGGUCUCUGGGCCGAAAUUGACGCUGAGGAGCGAAAGCGUGGGGAGCAAACAGG
rnacentral:rRNA from 1 species